rnacentral:rRNA from 1 species
UACAGGGGGGGCAAGCGUUGUUCGGAAUUACUGGGCGUAAAGGGCUCGUAGGCGGCCAACUAAGUCGAACGUGAAAUCCCCGGGCUCAACCCGGGAACUGCGUCCGAUACUGGAAGGCUUGAAUCCGGGAGAGGGAUGCGGAAUUCCAGGUGUAGCGGUGAAAUGCGUAGAUAUCUGGAGGAACACCGGUGGCGAAGGCGGCAUCCUGGACCGGCAUUGACGCUGAGGCGCGAAAGCCAGGGGAGCAAACGGG